rnacentral:lncRNA from 1 species
ACAAAGUGAAUUUACAAGGUGAGUAUAAUAUUAGUGCUAUAUUCAAAGUUUCUAAUUUUUAUUUGUUUGAUGUUAGUGAUGAUUCGAGGUUGAAUGCUUUUGAGAAUAGAGAAGAUGAUGCGAUCCUGGUUACAACAUCAAGGGAUCCAUUUGGAGUGUCCAUUGGGUCUAUUCUAAGACCUAAAAUGAAGUGGAUCAAAGAGAAGUUCAAUGGGCUAAGUUAAGAGGCUUAAGUUAAAAAGGUUCAGAUUUGCCAGUCUGGAUCUUUGUAUACUUUUUGGGUCAUAUCUGAAGCUAUAUGAGGGUUUUGGAUGCGAUUUUAAUUGGGCUGAAGGCCAUACAUCUUUACCUUCCCAACGAUAAAUGGUAGUUCCGCUAAUUCAUCCAAACGAGAGAGAACAAUGUGUUUAAAGUUGGGUCUAGAAUCUGUCAACAAAGUGCGAAAACAAGAAAGACAUUAUUUCCUUAAGAGUUAUUGAUUCCAUUCAUUACAAGAAGUCCUUAUUAUUACUAAGAACAUAUGUGAACCUUUGAGUUACUUAUUUUACAGGGAUUCCAUAUCAAACACGAAGAAUUAAUUGGUCAGAAAUUAAU